CUUUUAUUCUUCUUUUUCUUUUUAUUGUUUUGUUCUCUUUAGAUUGUGAAAAGACUGGCAGGGAAACAAAUGCCACCAGCAAGGAAAGUCUCACUUGGCCUUGCCAGGAGUCGCAGAAAUCAGUCUCUAAUAAGGAGGCUGGCUGCUGGGUUACCACCUUAGCAGAUGGGCCGAAUUAGUUCACUCCUGAGGAAAGGAGCAGGCAGCAGCAGGUGACUCUCACUACCACAGCCCCACUCAUUCUUGCAGCAUUUCUUCCAAGCCUCCCAGUGGAUGUCUGGACCCAUGAACAGUAGGUUUGAGACUGUGUUCCUUCAUGUAUGAAUUAAGGACAGUAAGAGAUUAGCUUGAAAAAUAGUAAUGAUGUAAAAGCAUAAUGACAUACGCCUUUGAAAUCUAUGUGAGUAUGGCCCUUCUCUUUCAAAACAUCUCCCUAUACUUGUAUCUUUUCUGUCAAAAGAAAAAAAAAUCGAGGAUUCUUCUUGGCAUGUCUGAACUGGCAGCAUUACUAUUCUUGAGCCUUGCAGGCAUUAUUAGGUGAAAUCAAUGUCAUGUUCGUUAACCCGAUAACUGAAUAUCACCUAGUAAUCACUGGGAAGGUAGUACAUACAGAUGUUGCACACAGACAGCAUGGAGGAUAGUACAUGCAGAUGAUACACACAGACAGCAUGGGGCAGUGGUACAUACAGAUGACACAUACAGAGAAUAUGGGAGGCUAGUGCAUGCAGAAGGUACACACAGCAUAGGAGGGUGGUAUAUACAGAGAGUACACACAGACAACAUGGGAGGGUGGUACAUACAGAUGGGGCACACAGAUAGCUUGUAUAUGUCAGGAAAAGGAACAGAUAACACCUUGUGAAAUAAAUUGAAAGCUUAUGACACUACAGGGUGUCAUAAUUCAUAAGAUUUAAAAUUAAAAAUCAUUAAUCAUCCAUUGCUGAUCGUUCCCAUUGAAUAUUUCAGCCUAGAGUUUGAGCGUGUUUGUGUGGUGCGUUUAUAUGUAUGCCAAAGUGUGUCAUGGCAGGCAUGAGUGUAUAUUUAUAUAUACAUAUUAAAUAAACAAAUAACUAGAUGUCAACGAAAAUAAAAUAUGAACAAAACGUGAGAAGAUUUUCUGCUCAGUUUUUAUUUCUAGGUAAAUUCACACAGUGCUCUCCUCCUUUAUGACAGGAUUUCUCCGUGUCCACGCAUGCCCCCUGAAUAUGUUACAAAUGUAUUGAGAUAUGGAGCCUCCUUAUUCUUUUCCCUUGUGUGCUUUACAAAUUUUUAUCUUUGAGAUGAGCUAUGGUAGAAGAACUUGGAACACACUUGUCUCUAACUGCAGCAAUACCCAGGAACCCAGAUGACUAUUAAAGACUACAUCUCCCAGGAUAACAAGGAUCAUUUCUAGACAACGUUUUCACUGCUGUUAAACUGUCUCAGAAAACAACAGAACUUCUGUGAAGCAAGCUUGGACAACUAUUAAGACUGGGAAGUAGGGUGUUCAAUUCUCCUCCUCCUCCUCCUCCUCCUCCUUUUCUUUUCUUUUCUUCUUCUUCCUCCUCCUCCUCUUCCCCCUCCUCCUCCUCCCCACCCCCAUCUUUGUCCUCCUCCUCCAGAUAAAACAUAGAAGAAUCACACAGUAACCCCAAAGAAAGUUGCUGCUUAACUACUUUGGGCAUUUCAAUAAUCAGUCAAACCCAGAAAUGUAGAAUUAAAGAGGUUCCAAUAACAAAUUUUAUUUCAAUGUUAAACUGGUUAAGGACUCAGGCCUCUUGCCCUCUGUGGAAGACCACGGUGUUGAGAAUUCCAUGUGUUCUGUGAGCUUGUUUAUAGCCCCAGAAAGAUGAAACUACUUGGAAGAAAAUACUUAGUAUUGUAGUCUCAAGGAGGCUUAGAAGAGGGUAGGGGAGAGAUUUCCAAGUACAUGCUUUCCUUUUGGAGACCAUGAAGUACCUCCCUGGUCCUCCGGUGAGGUAGUUUGGGAUAAAUCCCCAUGACAAGGCACAUAAUACUCAUAGACUCCUCCCUCUGGGUGGGAAGAGGACACACUAGAAAGGGGAGCUGUUCCGGCCAUGCCAACAAA